UGUUAAAAUUUUUAUUCAUUUAUACGGUUAAAAACUGACAUGAUUAACAGAAUAACUAGACAGUGGCACAUAGCGUGCCACAUGUACCUCAUGUUAACAUAUAAUGAUCAAAUGGUAACAAUAAAAAUGGAUAAAAUUUUCAAUA
rfam:Gossypium hirsutum cultivar TM-1 chromosome 23, whole genome shotgun sequence